AUGGAGUUACCAAAGCAGCCAUUUUCCGUUCAUGUGGCAGGGCUAAAACAGGAAUAUCGCAGGGCUAAACUUUCGGGCGCGAGAUAUUUUGAUGUGAGUGGGAAGUUUGAAAGCUUUUGGUGCCUGAAAUUAUAUUCUGCUCUUGUACGACCGACUAUGAUAUCAUGGCCAAGAAUUUGUUUGUUUUGCACGCAAAUAAAAGUGCAAGUUUUGAAAAUCAAUGUCUCCAACUCCAAACUUAGAUUGUCCAUUCAAUCCAAAUAUGGAUCAUUGAGAUACUACAAGCAAAUACCAUCAUAUGGUCCCAUUCAAAUGAAAUUCCAAAUGUGUUUAUCCCAAAUAUAA
rnacentral:rRNA from 1 species